GGUUCCAUAGGGUAGUGGUUAUCACAUCUGCUUUAUAUGCAGAAGGUCCUGAGUUUGAGCCCCAGUGGAACUA
rfam:Mus musculus chromosome 1, GRC primary reference assembly.